rnacentral:ncRNA from 1 species
GCAGAGUAGGCUGCGGAGCGUCAAGUGCCUGGUGAACAGGGAGUUGUCACCGGGACGAAAAGGAUUUUCCCCUGCGUAUGGAUGAGGGAAUCUUCCUUGCGGUUCCGCCGCCGCAUCCCGCUGC